rnacentral:rRNA from 1 species
CGAGUCGAGUUGUUUGGGAAUGCAGCUCUAAAUGGGUGGUAAAUUUCAUCUAAAGCUAAAUAUUGGCCAGAGACCGAUAGCGCACAAGUAGAGUGAUCGAAAGAUGAAAAGCACUUUGGAAAGAGAGUUAAACAGUACGUGAAAUUGUUGAAAGGGAAGCGCUGGCAACCAGACUUGGGCGCUGUUGAUCCUCUAGGGUUCUCUCUAGGGCACUCGUCAGUGCGCAGGCCAGCAUCGGUUUGGGGGGUUGGAGAAUGGUUGGUGGAAUGUGCCUGUCUUUGGGCAGUCUUAUAGCCACCGGUGGCAUGCAGCCUCCCCGGACCGAGGUCCGCGCUUCGGCUAGGAUGCUGGCGUAAUGGUUGUCAGCGACCCGUCUUGAAACACGGACCAAGGAGUCUAACAUCUAUGCGAGUGUUUGGGUGUUAAACCCAUACGCGGAAUGAAAGUGAACGUAGGUGAGAACCCGCAAGGGUGCAUCAUCGACCGAUCCUGAUGUCUUCGGAUGGAUUUGAGUAAGAGCAUAGCUGUUGGGACCCGAAAGAUGGUGAACUAUGCCUGAAUAGGGUGAAGCCAGAGGAAACUCUGGUGGAGGCUCGCAGCGGUUCUGACGUGCAAAUCGAUCGUCAAAU